rnacentral:rRNA from 1 species
GACGAGCCUCACAAACGUUAUUCGGAAUUACUGGGCUUAAAGGGUGCGUAGGCGGUGCGGAAAGUUGGGUGUGAAAUCCCUCGGCUCAACCGAGGAACUGCGCCCAAAACUACCGUACUCGAGGAAGAUAGAGGUGAGCGGAACUUACGGUGGAGCGGUGAAAUGCGUUGAUAUCGUAAGGAACACCCGUGGCGAAAGCGGCUCACUGGGUCUUAUCUGACGCUGAUGCACGAAAGCUAGGGGAGCAAACGGG